rnacentral:rRNA from 1 species
AUUGAACGCUGGCGGCAGGCCUAACACAUGCAAGUCGAGCGAGCGGCGGACGGGUGAGUAAUGUCUGGGGAUCUGCCCGAUGGAGGGGGAUAACUACUGGAAACGGUAGCUAAUACCGCAUACUAUCGGAUGUGCCCAUAUGGGAUUAGCUAGUAGGUGGGGUAAAGGCUCACCUAGGCGACGAUCCCUCGCUGGUCUGAGAGGAUGACCAGCCACACUGGGACGGAGACACGGCCCAGACUCCUACGGGAGGCAGCAGUGGGGAAUAUUGCACAAUGGGCGCAAGCCUGAUGCAGCCAUGCCGCGUGUGUGAAGAAGGCCUUCGGGUUGUAAAGCACUUUCAGCGGGGAGGCGUUACUCGCAGAAGAAGCACCGGCUAACUCCGUGCCAGCAGCCGCGGUAAUUC